rnacentral:pre_miRNA from 1 species
UUUAUAUGAUGCCGUUGACUUUUAGAUCCACGUUUGACCAUUCGUCUUAUUCAAAAAAAUUAUAUAAUUAUUAAUUAUUUUGUUAUAAUAUGAUUUAUUAUUAUAUAACUUUAAGUAUGCAUUAUAAUUUUGCAUAUUUGAAUAUAAAUUUGGAAUAAGACGAAUGGUCAAACAUAAUCCUAAAAGUCAACGGUGUCAUAGAUA